GAUGAACGCUAGCGAUAGGCUUAACACAUGCAAGUCGAGGGGCAGCAUGGUCUUAGCUUGCUAAGACUGAUGGCGACCGGCGCACGGGUGCGUAACGCGUAUGCAACUUGCCUCACAGAGGGGGAUAACCCGUCGAAGGACGGACUAAUACCGCGUACACUCUAUUUUGGGCAUCCAAGGUAGAGGAAAUGAAAUUCGCUGUGAGAUAGGCAUGCGUCCCAUUAGCUAGUUGGUGAGGUAACGGCUCACCAAGGCGACGAUGGGUAGGGGAACUGAGAGGUUGAACCCCCACACUGGUACUGAGACACGGACCAGACUCCUACGGGAGGCAGCAGUGAGGAAUAUUGGUCAAUGGGCGAGAGCCUGAACCAGCCAAGUCGCGUGAAGGAUGACUGUCUUAUGGAUUGUAAACUUCUUUUGUAGGGGAAUAAAGAGGGGCACGUGUGCCCCAGUGAAUGUACCCUACGAAUAAGCAUCGGCUAACUCCGUG
rnacentral:rRNA from 1 species